GGGGAUGUAGCUCAGUUGGGAGACGCACCUGCCUUGCAAGCAGGGGGUCGAGAGUUCGAAUCUCUUCAUCUCCA
rfam:Eubacterium cellulosolvens 6 chromosome, whole genome shotgun sequence.